GAUGAACGCUGGCGGCGUGCCUAAUACAUGCAAGUCGAGCGAACAGACGAGGAGCUUGCUCCUCUGACGUUAGCGGCGGACGGGUGAGUAACACGUGGAUAACCUACCUAUAAGACUGGGAUAACUUCGGGAAACCGGAGCUAAUACCGGAUAAUAUAUUGAACCGCAUGGUUCAAUAGUGAAAGACGGUUUUGCUGUCACUUAUAGAUGGAUCCGCGCCGCAUUAGCUAGUUGGUAAGGUAACAGCUUACCAAGGCAACGAUGCGUAGCCGACCUGAGAGGGUGAUCGGCCACACUGGAACUGAGACACGGUCCAGACUCCUACGGGAGGCAGCAGUAGGGAAUCUUCCGCAAUGGGCGAAAGCCUGACGGAGCAACGCCGCGUGAUUGAUGAAGGUCUUCGAAUCGUAAAGCUCUGUUAUUAGGGAAGAACAAAUGUGUAAGUAACUAUGCACGUCUUGACGGUACCUAAUCAGAAAGCCACGGCUAACUACGUG
rnacentral:rRNA from 1 species